GGGUUUCACUAUCUUGGUCAGGCUGGUUUUGUACUCCUGACCUCAGGUGAUCCACCCACCUCAGCCUCCCAGAGUGCUGAGAUUACAGGCAUCAGUCACCACGCCCGGCCUGACUUAUAUUUUAAGCAAGUUCGCAGUUUUUUUCGAGAUAGCAGUCCUGGGAAUAUUCUGAAUUCUGGAAAGAGUUUAGAGAGGUUAUUGCCUUCUUAAUAAUUUAGAGCGUCUAUUGCUCUGCCAAGUCAGAAGAUUAACAUUUAAUAGAAAAAAAUUAUAUAUCUAUAAUUCAGUCACAGCUAUUAGAUCAGAUGGAUUUUGCAUUAAGUGAAAAAGAUGUUGAGCAUUUAAGGACCAUUAAACUACAGGACUCUAUUGGGUUUUAAGGCCUCGAAGCCAGGGUCCUGCUGCGAAGAGUAUUUAUUUUACAUAUACAGAACCCAUUAAGGAUGGGAAAGGGGCACACAUUUUAAAAGAAAAUAGGCCAUGAAAAAGUGUGAUUUUCCACAUUGUGAACAGCUACCAAACAGAUUCAGUCUUACAAUAAUUAGUUUUAUGCAUCAUUAAGUAGCUUGCUUACUGGCUAGAAGAAUAUGGUGAAUCCCACUUUAAAAGUGGUACCUGCAGGAAAUCCAAGUAGGUACAUGUCCUUUGUUGAUAUUUCACUUAGAGAAACUGUGUUUCUAGUAGUUUCCAGGAUUCUUAAGGUUGCUAUAUAUUGUUAGGAAUUUAAGUUUGGAAAUGCCUUCUUCAGUGGUCCUUAAGGACCAUGAAAACAAAGACCCAGAGAGGAAUUCUAGUGUUUACUUUUUCUAGCAAUGCUCAAAUUAUCAAUGAGAGAGUGGAAUUUGACCCUUGAGAAGAAUCACUUGCCUAUUGGAAGAAAGUCUGCACCAUUCUCUUUAUUAAGUGCUUAUCACAAUGCCAUUGUUGGAAGUAACCAAUAUCUUAAUGUAAGUUUUUCUUACUAUUUACACCAUGCCUCCUGCCCCAUUCCUACCUCCAAAAAGGGGAAGAGUUCUAGGAGUAUAAAAGCAAAUAGACUCAGGGAGGAUGUGAGAAUGGAGUUAAUAUAAUUUGUAACUUUUUCCCCCUACAAUGUCCAAACAAAUUUGGUGAUUUUCUUUCUUGCUAUUCUAGGCUUUUUUAAAUUGCCUCUGACUAAAGUGGCACCUUAUGGGCUGCUUCAGAAAUUUUCUUCAGGAUUUAAAAAUGAAGCCGAUUCAUAUUCAGAGUCUUCCUGCUGAAAAUCUGUUAAGCCAAAAUAAAAAUGACUGCUACUUAAAUUUUUUUUCCUCUUUGUUGUUGCUGCAAACAUUGUCUCAGUUACAGGAGUUGCAAGAUCUCAUUUAUGCUUUGUACAAAUGGAGAGACGAACCAUCCCAGGACUACCAAUACAAGUCCUAAGGAUUAAAGUGUAUCUGCCUCAAUCAGAUAAAUGUGAGCUGCACUACUGAGUGUGGAGGCUUUUUUUUUAAGUGAAUUGUUCCAGUUGGCCUUAAUCCCUAAGCAAUAUAGCUCCUUUAAAACCAUCUUUAUUCAUUCACACCAAUUGACACUUAAAAUCCCCCAGCCACUGUUCAUCUAAGUCUAAAUAUAGCUGUUAGAGUCAAAUGUGUCUUAAGAGGAUUUUCAAUCUGAUUAUCCAAAAUACUAUUUAUUGUCAAUGUUUUUGGUGUGCCAUGGCCAAUCUUAUUAUUAUAAUGUCCAUAGCAUUUAACGGCGGCAGAGCCUAAAAUAUAUCACAGCAAUUGGGAUAACCUGAAGGAGGGCUUUUCUCCAGCUCCGCGCUGUCGUUCUGGCACAGCUUGUUGUGUGGUUAUGAACAUCAGAAAGAAUUCCUUAAUAAGCUCUUGCUCUCCUUCCAGACCCUUUUGGGCAAUCUCGCCCUCCAUGUUCUCUAAGUAGAGAGCAGUUACCAGGACAACAGAGAAUUUGAGGAAGAUUUAAUUGUGAUUUGAUGUCUAACCAGAAUAAGGAGCUAGUGCCUUGAAUUUAUAUUCUAGGUUUCCAAGCAAAUGUCAAUAUGCAUAUUUAUUAUUUUUGCCCUUCCUCAUUAUAAAAAGGAUUUUAAGAUGGCUGACUUUUUUUUUCUUAAUAUGGGAGAGGAGAAUGGGGAUGAUAAAUACUAAAAGGAUAGGAAAAACAAGCAGCAGCUUGUUAUGCAGGAAAUAUGCCAUUUAACAUUGUAAUAUCCUGCUUUUCUGGGGCUGACCUCAGUUUGACUCUCAACUUCCUAGUGGCCAAUGUAAUGAUGAAAACAUCACAUAUGUGAGGCACGGUGUCAGGCAGAACACAGUUAUUCCUGGUUCUGAAAUUGGCGUGGUGUUCUCCAUGGGGCCAGCACAUCAAUUGGUAUACAUCUCAAGCUGGAGUACGCAGUGCCUCAGGGCACAUGCCGUGGGAUAAAAAUGGCACAUUUCCUAAAGUGCUUCCAUCGGACUUAAUGCUGCCACGUAAGACACGCCUGCUUUUCCUUCCGCCAUGAUUAUAAGUUUCCUGAGGCUUCCCCAGCCAUGCAGAACUUAAAACACUGAACAGUGGCCCAGGUCAGUCCUUUCUCUUCUGCAUUUGGCUCUGGACAUAUUCAAGAGCUUGGUGGGCUCAUUAUGCACCGGCUAUGAUGAUGGUCAGUGGGAAACGCCAGCGCCUGUAGUGGAAAAACUAGCCUGGAAGAAUUUCCUAGGUACAAGGCUUAUCAGGAUCCAUCAAAAUAGAACUGCGUGGAAGAGGAAGAGAAUGCAUUGUGGGGAGAAAUUAACAUUAAAUCAAGUAAGACAUGUCUUUUAGAGAUUAGUGGGCUCACUGGAAGUUGAGACUUUCUGCAGAAAUUUCUUCUUACUGGACAGUGUGUGUGUAGAUUAGAUAAUCCAGGACAUAUUUAAUGAUGGAGAAUUUAUAAAGUUUUGUGAAAUGUACAAAUGUAAACAAGACUUGAGUUUGGCUCCUAGGUAUACUCCUAAUUAUUGGUGUGACCUUGUAUAACUAACUUAACCUCAGUACCUAGACCUGAGUGAAAAGAGAGAUGCUUUGAUUAUCACAAAACUGCUUCUUAGCACAAGAGUUUUAUGAGGUUCUAUUCCUGGUGUGAUUGUUGAGCUUGUCGUGGCAUUUGGACCAACCAUGUUCUUCUUGUUUUCACUGAAUUAGGAAUUUUGAAGUUGCUUUUUCUGACACUAAGUUUGGUUGAGAUGUAUGUCUACAUGCAUGUAUUGAACUCCUCACACUGCUGUUAUGUAGUCUAUGAUGUGCUUAUGUGCAUUAACAGAAAGACAAAAUACAGGGGGAAUCAAGCAGCUAUGGAUAUAAGAGCUCCCCUCCUGCCUCUACAGUAGUGACUGGAGGACGAGCCCUAUGAACAAAGGGGAGGUUAAAGGCAGAGAGUUCAAAUAGCUCACCAAGGAAGUAGCAGAGUGACAUUACAAGCAGACUCAUUCAAAAAGAAUUCCAUAGUUUUUCCAAGUGGCCUGGCUUACUUCCUGGGUCAUUGGUCCAAAAGUUGAAAUGGGACUCUGCUACUUCCCCUUAGAAUAUAUUUGUGUAGCAUGAACUAAGGGUUUUAAUUACAAAAAUAGUCGUCUGAUUUAAGAAGAAAAGUAAUUAUUGGAAAAAUAUUAGGUAACUCAGGAAUCACUCAAAAGAUGGAAAGACUGUAUGCAGGCUAUCCAGCCAAACCGUCAGAAGGGCUCGGUGGAGAUGCCAUUGUUACCACUGAAUGCCAGAUUCAGGGCGGGUUUGCCAUCCAGGCUAUUCCUCGGCCAUGUGGCUUAUACACUAAUUGCAAAGGAGGCUGGAGAAGUGGGUUCUGGGCAUUAUCAGCACAGCUUCAUAAGACUCAUAAGGUGGGAAUACUAAGAUUCAUAAGGUGGGAAUUUCCUAAUUACACAAGUGGGCUCAAGCUUUGGGAAGCCAAAAAUUAAAAACAAAACACAAAUAUCUAUGAAAGCCCUUCCCUUUGGUAGCUGAUACCAUAAACCCUGCUCUAAUGCCAUAGUAAGUUCCAAAACGAAUCAAAGCUUAUAGAAGGAGGGGUUGUAUUAUUGUGAAAUAACUGAGUGAGACAGCACAGCUAGCUGGACGAGAGUUCUGAGAGUCCUACUGCAGGAUUUAAUUGUGUCCUGGUCCCGGGUGCCAUCUGGUACCAUUUGGGGCAGCUGUCAACCCCUAGCUUAAAUAUCAAGAAAAUGAUUCUGGAUUCUGCAGUCGGAAUGGAUUCCAGAACAGUUACAGUGCUUCUAAAACUCUCCCACUUGAUUGGUUCCCAUUUCAUUGCCCUGAUCCGGGGAGAAUACCAAGGAUGUAGGAGCAUAAUCUCCAUCUCUCAUCCUUCCCAAACAAGGGCUGCCUGGUGUCUGCUAUUUCCUACUUGGCUUCAUCCUUCCUCCAUAUUUCUCAGUCCUGCUGCAGAGGAUAAGAAAUUUAGCCUGCCUGCAUUUAAACAGGGGUUGGGCAGAGGACAGCGGCAAUCACUAGUUGUGUUAUAUUCAAGUUUGCAGUAUGAGAUGGUGCGUUAUUUAGAAAUUUUACCUUAUCAACAAUAUUUCUUCUUUCUACAUUUAUACUUCAAAACCAAAAUAUGACAAAACAAAAAUCCCUCCCUCCUACCCAUCAUAUCAUAAAAACCAAAUUCAUCCAUUCCCCUGAAGGGAGGCAAUCCAACAUCUCAUAAGAACUGUGACCAGCUCUGGCCGGGUGUCGUGGCUCACGCCUGUAAUCCCAGCACUUUGGGAGGCCAAGGUGGGAGGAUCACCUGAGGUCAGGAGUUCAAGAACAGCCUGGCCAACAUGGUGAAACCCCGUCUCUACUAAAAAUACAAAAAUUAGCUGGGCAUGGUGGCACAUGCCUGUAAUCCCAGCUACUUGGGAGACUGAGGCAGGAAAAAAGCUUGAACCUGGGAGGCGGAGGUUGCAGUCAGCCUAGAUUGCGCCAUUGCACUCCAGCCUGGGCAACAAUAGCGAAACUCCGUCUCCGAGAAAAAAAAAAAAAAGAAAGAACUGUGACCAGCUUUAAGUCCACAUUCAGGGUCUCUGGGGCUGUCUAGCUCUCCUCAACGUAUGUCACAUUCUCUCUCAAAAAUCUGUGAUCUGAUUUACAGACUAAAUUGUAAAGUCACCUUUCCCAAGAGUGAGGGAUAAUGAAAGGGAAGACAAAGGAAAUUAAUUAAAACUCAUCAAUAGAUAUAUGGAAGGAAAAAAAAAUGUGGGUAGCCUUAGUUUUUGCAACUGAACCCAAGGCCAGAAUUGGUGUUGGUGAUUUUUCUCCUCCUCAAUAUUUAGGAUCCACUUUGUCUUUAGCUAGAAUCUCAACCAACUGGAUUAUUUAACUAGGAAAGGUGACCCAACCUUCAUUUGUAAGGGAUCUAGGACCUCAGUGACUUCUCUAUAGAAUAGCUUUGUCAGUGGUGUGCUGGAUCUAUCUUGUACCAGCUUGUGAGAGUGGAUUAGUAAAUUUUCAACAAUGUUAUGAGCAUUUGUUAAAAACAGCCAUUAUUAAAAAUUAAAUUAUAGGCUGGGUGCAAUGGCUCAUGCCUGUAAUCCCAGCACUUUGGGAGGCUGAGGUGGGUGGAUCAUGAGGUCAGGAGUUCAAGACCAGCCUGGCCAAGAUGGUGAAACUCUGUCUCUACUAAAAAUACAAAAAAAAUUAGCCGGACAUGGUGGCAGGUGCCUGUCAUCCCAGCUGCUUGGGAGGCUGAGGCAGAGAAUUGCUUGAACCUGGGAGGCGGAGGUUGCAGUGAGCCGAGAUUGUGCCACUGCACGCCAGCCUGGGCGACAGAACGAGACUCCAUCUCCAAAAAAACAAAACAAAACAAAAAUUAAAUUAUAUAAGCCUACAAUUAAAUACAGUUUAUUAAAAACAAAUGUAAUAAAUACCCCCGCACUCAUCACUCUAAUUAUUUUGCUAGCAUAUAUCCUUCCUUUUGAGAUGAUGUAUGUCUUUAUAUGUAUAGUAGAAAUACUAUAUAAUGCUUUGCUGCCGUGCAUCUUAUCCCAACUGCGUGUUCAGUAAUGUCAUGUUGAUAGAUUGAAAUUGGCUAUGGUGGGGGUUUUUACAUCAAGGAAAUUAGCAAACACUAAAAUUCAGUGCCACUGGCUAGAGUUUCCAUUCAUUUUUACUACUGAACAUCAAAGUACUGGGAGAAGUCCCAGGAGACUCCUAGGUUCCAUCUUCACCCUUCUCUGCCUGCAUGAUGUAGUAGUUUUGUUACAACCACAGUACUAUGGGGAGCUAAAAUGAUCAUGUUUUUGAAAUGGCCAUGUUUUUGAAACCAUUGUGUCUGUUGUUGGAAGCAUUCUUUUUUCAAGACUAAUACCUUUAAACCCAAACAGCCCUGAGUUGUAGGGAUAGGAAGCAAAAACAUUGUGAAUGGAUCAUUAGGUGUGACAGUGACAAGCAACAUUUCCACAUCCACCCCUUGGUUCUAGGCCCCAUGUACUGGCUCCUGGUUCAAGGCGUACAUUGUACCCUGGAAAUCAGCACCCUAACCUCAAAAGCUGUUGUCUCUCCAUUGAUGGUAUCACUUGAGUCUGCAAUAUGUUAAUGCAUCCUUCUGUAAGGCCAGCUGCCUACGGGUAUGUGGUACAUGGUAAAACUAAUGAAUGAAGACCACCAACCAUUUUUUUUUAUUUUGCAGAAAAAUAGAUUUCUUAAAAGCAAUGUUGUUUUUGAUACCAAGCCUGUGUGAGGUGAGUCCGCAGACGCCUGUGCUGCAGCAGCACAAUGGGAGUGGAAAGCAAGCCCAAGUGUGUUUCAGGAUAGCAAAACACCACCUUCUCCACGAGGUGCUGUGUGAAAGCAAGCCCAAGUGUGUUUCAGGAUAGCAAAACACCACCUUCUCCACGAGGUGCUGUGUGAAAGCAAGCCCAAGUGUGUUUCAGGAUAGAAAAAAAACCAGCUUCUCCACGAGGUGCUGUGUGAAAGCAAGCCCAAGUGUGUUUCAGGAUAGAAAAACACCAGCUUCUCCACGAGGUGCUGUGUGAUAUCUUAGGUUGUUCACUGCUACUGGCAAGUGGAGCCCAUUAGACCAAGAACUCAGGAAUCAGAACUUUUGUCCUUUCUUUCACCUGGUCAUUGCCCUUAGAAGGAACCACCCACCCCACAGUCCUUGAAUUCUUCAGGCUUUUCAUCUCUUCUCUGACAAUGACCCCUCCCUAGUACCUGUAUUUGUUUUCUAUGUCUGCAUAACAAAUCACCAUAGGCUCAGUGGCUUAAAACAACACUCACUUAUCAUCUCAUAGUUCUGUAGGUAAGGGGUAUGGUACAAUGUGACUGAGUCCACUGCUCAGGCUCUCACAACAUUGAAACCAAGGAGUCGGCAGGGCUGUGUUUCUUUUUGGAGGCUUUGGGGGAAGAAUCCACUCCCAAAUUCAUUCAGUUGUUGCCAGAAUUCAGUUCCUCAUGGUCGUAGGACUGGGGUCCCCUUCCUUGACACGUGGCCCCUCUGUCUUCAAGCCAGCAAUGACACAUCAAACCCUUCCUGGGCAUCCAACGUCUCUGGUUUGCCCUGUUCUUCUGCUUUAAGGGCUCAUCUGAUUAUACUGGGCCCACCUAGAUAAUCCAGGAUAAUCUCUCUAUUUUAUGGUUGGCUGAUUAGCAAACUUUAUUACACCUGCAGAGUCUCUUUCACCAUGCAAGGUAACAUAUUUAUGGGAAUGAUACCGCAUCGUAUUCCCAGUCCCAGAGUUUAAGGUGUGAGAUCUUUGGGGGCCAUAAUCCUGCCUAUCACAGUACCCUACAGCCUUGUCUUCAAUCAGUACUUCAUUCUAAGUAUAAAGUGGUGAUAAUUUAAUCUACUGUUUCUUCUCUGUAUGCAUGGACUGCCAGAAUCCCAUUGCUUAAUAUUAGAGUUUCACAGCCUUCACCUCCUCAAACCCUGCCACAAUUUCCCCACUUCCCUCAGGAUCUGUUGCCUACAACUACUCCUGGUUUCAAUGUCUGUAACAUUGAAGGUUCUUAAUUACAAGUAACAGAAACCAAUUCUGGCUAAUUUAGGGAGAAAAAAUAGUUUUUGAAAGAUUGCAUGGGAGCUUACAGAUUUACCAGAAGGGCUGGAGUACUAGGCUCAGGGGCUACUUGAAUGAUGCCACAGGCCUGGUUGAGUGAGAAGACUGCAGCUACUGUUGGCACCACUGUGACUUGAUGCAGGAGGACACUGCUAAUGUGGCAGCCCUGAGGCCCAAAACUCCAUGAUGAUGCAGCCCCUGCCCCUGCUAGAGAGUCUCAUGGCUCUUGCUUCUUCAUGUCGCCAUGUCCUUUUUUAAAGUCCAGGACAGGAGUAGCUGAUUGGCUGAACCCAGGACAACCACAUGCAAGGAAUCCAGGUAAAGCAAGCUUCCUGUCUGGCCUUACCAUGCAGGAAAUUUUUAAACCAAGGAAAUGGCUCAGAUACGUGGCAUCCAACACUCUUGAGAAAUAUCAUAUAUGUUGCAUGGACAUUAUUGGUUUCUAAUCCAAAUCAAGACAUAUAUUCCCAUAAGCAAGGGCAACAAGACAACAUCUGAAAUCAUCACUGCCCUGCCUCGGGAAAUAACUUUACCAUCUAUGAAGUUGCCUAAGUCAGAAAGCAUGGGAGUCCACCCGAAUCCAUCCUGCUCUGUAUACCCACUUGUAACCAUGCUGCAAUAUUUCUAGAUAGAAGCCUUCCCUCUUUCUCCUCCCAAACCACACUGCUUUAGUGAAGGUACCGGGCACUUUUCAUGUGAAUGUCUACAGUCUCCCCUCAGUUGGCCAUCCUGUGUCUAGCCUCUUUUGCUUCAAUCCAUUCUCCACUUCACUGUGAAGUGUUACCAGAUUGUCUUUUGAAAAUGAAAAUCUGCUUCCAUCAUUACCUUCUUUACAUUCCUUCAGCGGCUCCCCACGGCCUGGAGAUUAAAACCCAUUUCUUAGCAUGGCUGUUCUUUUUCUGAACCCCAUCUGCCUCCCCAGCUUCACGUUUCACCCCCAUUCAGCCCCAACCAGCCAAGCUACUGGCCACAUUGUAUGCUUUCCUCCCCAAGCCCUGUCCCAAGGCCCUCCACUUCCCGCACCUUUGCACUUGCUGUUUUCUCUGGCAGACACACCCUCUCACACGUCCGCUGCCUUGACCCAGUAAGACUUUGCUUUCUUGAUGCCUCUCCCCAAGGUAAAUGGAACCAUUUUCUUAGGUAUACCUAGGAGUGUACCACCCUUGCAAACCAUUCUCCGCAACAGGCCAGAGGAUGGAAACGUGUGUUGAAUGAGUGAUAAGUGAGUAUCUGCUGGAGUUGCUGGGGCUCAUCUGGGCACAGACAGUGCAGGGGCUGCAGCAAAACAUCAUGGGCCACGUGAGGGUUGGGGAUAGGGCCUUGGCCUCUCCUAGCCCAGGGCUCAGGAAGAGUGGAGGACGCUGUGCCCCCACCUGUGAUUGUCCUAGUUAAUGAGAUCAAAUGCUGCCUCCCUCUGUCAAGUCCCAAGCGCUGGUGAAAGCACUCCUUGGGGGCCUGUUCAAGACCCGCCUCAGGGAGCAACCACACACCUCACUGCAGUCUUCCGAGGUUCACACAGAAGCCAGAGCUCACAUUUCCCAUAGACUGUUUAGGUAUUCUCUUUCUGUAGUCACUUCUUAAGAAGUGUGGGUCAUACAUUUAUGUGGGAAGCAAGAAAAUCUUGGUGCAUAAUGAAUACCAUAUUUUCAUGUACAUCGCCAGUGGUGGGCAACUCACUGCCAGUCCGUUUCAUCAGUCAACCCCUUUUACAAAGCCUUUUCUUAAUUUUGACCAGAAAUCUGCCUUCCUGUGCCUUCCCUAUUGGUCCUGAGCCCGAACAUGGUACACGAAGGUGGCUGUGAGUGGCAUGGCAUUAAUUUUCUUUUCUUUUUUUUUUUUUUUUUUUUUUUGAGAUGGAGUCUCGCUCUGUCGCCAGGCUGGAGUGCAGUGGCAUGAUCUCGGUUCACUGUAACCUCUGUCUCCCAGGUUCAAGCGAUUCUCCUGGCUCAGCCUCCCAAGUAGCUGGGACUACAGGUGCCCGCCACCACACCCAGCUAAUUUUUGUAUUUUUAGUAGAGAUGGGGUUUCACCAUAUUGGCCAGGAUGGUCUCGAUCUCUUGACCUCGAGAUCCACCCGCCUUCCAAAGUGCUGUGAUUACAGGUGUGAGCCACCGCGCCCAGCCUAACUUUCUCUUUUGACAGCCACAUUCCACUAUUGAUUCUUCUUUAGCUUAUUAACCAAUUAUGCCUCUAGGUCUCUUUCCAGAUGCUAAAUCAGGCUUGUCAUAAUGUCAUAUGCAGAUAGCUGAGAACAAAGCAACCAUGGGACUUUACAAUGAAACCUAUUGCAUGUUUUCACAUGGAUUUAGGUUUGUCCUGCUUUUCUAAUUCAUUCGAGCACUGUACUGCUUCAGCCAGGGAGCUAGAGAUGUGAGUGGGCAGGAGAUGGCAGGAGAGAGCCAGGAAGGAUCUUUUUUGUGGUCUCGCAGGACUGUGAAGAUGUGAAGUCACAGAAGCUAGCUGGCCAGGGGGAAGCAGGGGGCUAGGGCAUAACUUGCCCUUGAGGUGAGGAACAGAGGGAAGUUACACACACACCCAGGAGCAAGGGGACCAGAAGAGGAAGGAUUGCAGGUUCUGAGAGAAGGUUGCUUAAAGGGGGAAGGACUCAUGGGCUCACGUGAGAGACACAGCCGAUGUACUGGUUGCAGACUUAGGCUUACCAAAGCCAAUCCCCAAAUCCAAAACCACCUACACGGCAAUGAGAGGGGAAUGGGCACAUCAGUCAUGGAACCUGCAUAGGGUGGGGUGUGAUGCCCUGAGUGCACAGACUGUUUUCAAAGAGUCUUAAGGACAGAAAAAUGUUUUUAAUUUGAAACUAAAAGCCAAACUGUUGAUCCCAAAUAUGUAGAAAGAAUCUGUGGUGUGUAUGUGUUUGUGUGUGUGUGUGUCUGUGUACCUAUGUGUAUGGAUGAAUGAAUGAAUAUGCUGAGCAUGUAUUCUGUAUUGAGAGAGAGAUUAAUCAAAAAGUUAAUCUUGCUUAUAUUUUCCAGAUCUGCCUCAGAGAGCAUAUGCUAGUUAUAUCAUUAGACAGUGCAGUAAAUGUUAUCAGAAUUUCCAGUUUCCAAGAAUGAGGACACCGUAAACAGAGUGCAGUAAUGGGGCCCCUGCUUAAUACUUGUAUUUGGAAAUCUGAGCUGACUCUGUUUAGUGAAGGUGCCCAUCAUCCAAGGGGUCUGUGCCUUCUGUUGUCCAUGGGCUGGCAUGACAGUUGGUUUGAUAAAUGGAUACGAAGAAGAAGAUGUCACUAUUGUGAUGACCACCUGUUGAGUUACCAGGGCUUGGGAUAAAUUUCUGCACAUCAUACAGUAUGGGUUAGGGAUCAGGUUUUAUUGGGGAAACCCCCAGAGCUGAGACCCAGAGCAAGUUGUUGGGGUCCUUUUCAGAUGACACUCCUUGUGUCCUGCAGACACUGUUCUUGUUCUCACAAAGCUCACAGCAUCCUAGGAAGACAGACAGGUAACCAGAAGACUCAUAAUCCACUAGGUCUCACCCCCGUGGAGCUGCCCAGAUUUUGCCACAGCCCAUCACUGGAGCCCGCCAAGAUGUUUUUGAACAUUGUUAUCCCAAAUUUGCUGUUCUUUCCAGAUUUGUGUCACCUGCACAGUUGACAAACAUGUUCUCAUUAUCUUCAUCCCAAUAGCCCAAGGAGCCAGCCUGGCAGCAGACCACCAGGAGGGUCCGCAGGGCUGGUGGGUCCUUAGAGCACUCUGUUCCUUCAGCCAGGUAUGAAUCUGCCCAGAGGUGCAAUCAGCUCAGGUCCUGUUUCUUAGCCCUGUGGGAAUUCAGACCUCUCCUGGGCUUCUCACUUUCCCUAUGUAGCUCCUGGCCUCUGGUCAAGCCUCCCCAAUGGUCCUAUUGUACACUAAUUGCUCCCAGACCUGUAACCUCCCACCCAGUCCUCUCUCUUCAUGCCCACAGCCUCUCUACCAACUCACACCUUCUUUGUCUCGGCCUGAACAACAACCAGUGUCUCCUAACUGGUCUCUUGGCCUCUACUUUCUUCCUCCUCCUACCCCAUCUUUCAUUCUAUAACCAGCAUAGUCUUUUAAAUAGACAUCUGACUGACAUAUCAUUCAGCAAUAAAAAGGAACACACCACUGAUUCAUGCUACCACACAACGAACCUCAAAAACGUCAUGCUAAGUGAGAGAGGCCAGAGGCCAAAGACCACAUAUUGUAUGAUUCCAUUUAUAGGAAAUGUCAAGAAGUGGUGAAUCGAUGGAGACAGAAAGCAGCUUCGUGGUUGCCAGGGGCUGGGGGUAGGAAUAGGGAUUGAGUGCAAAUGCACAUGGGGACUCUUUGGGGUGACAGAAAUGUUCUAAAACUGGAUGAUGGCGAUGGUGGUACAACUCCACGAAUUUAGUAAAAAUUAUUAAAUUGUACACAAAACAUCUGGCACAUGCACAGGGCAAGGGAGGGGUGCGUGAGGGUGGACAGAGUAGUGUUUUGGCGUGCUCUCCAAGGUUCCAGCAUAUUCCACUGUGUUUUGGUGUGAGGUCAUCAUGGCGGAUUUACAAAGGUGAUUGUUAUGCUAAUUAUUUGUUGGAGGGAAGUUUUUUUUUUUUUAAACCAGAGAUAAUAAAUAUAUUCUUUUUUUUUUGAGACAGAGUCU